GGGCCGUGAGUCAUCCGGACCGCGCCCCCCGCCCGCGGCCGAGCGCACGUGAGCGCGCGCCGCGCUGGUUUCUAAGUUUAGCUCGGCGGCCUGUGUGGGGUCGGGAGAGAAGCGGCGGGAAGUUAGUGGUGGAAUAAAGGUAGCUCUGCGGAAGAUGACCUGAAUGAAGGACAGAAACCCUGAAGUCCAAAUAUUUUCAUUUAGGGGAUUUUCUCAGAGGAAAGAAAGAAGAGUGGCAAUGGUGAAGAGAAAGGAAGAGAGAUAUUGACUAAAUGAAUGAUGAAUGAAUGAACAGAGCAAGGAAACUGCUAGAGGGGGUGCUCUGUCAAAAUGAGGGGAAAAUCCAAGAGGAAAUUGUCAGAUCCUGGAACCAGGGGCCCCAAGUAGUGUUGCAAAGGACUAAAGGAGAGAGAGAGUCCAUCAUCUUGCACCUAGGAGAUCUACCCUAACUACCUUCUCAGAGACUGUAUGUGUUGGAACAGUUGUGUCUGCAGUCCCCAGGGCAGUGUGGAGCCCGUGAGGGGGCUUCCAGUGGGGGCACAAGGUUGCAGCCGUGGACUUAGAAAUCCACCACUUCCAGGGGCUCCUGGGUGGCUCAGUAGGGUCUCAGUGACCCCACCUGUCAAGUGAGUUGAUGGCAAAGGCCCAAGGGAGCCCUACGGCAAGGAGAUGAAGCCCAUGAGCUGCAGAGUCAGGAUACCGGGGUACAAAUCUCCAGCUUCCUGAGUGAUUUAAAGACUUCCCUAGGGACCAACCCUUUAGGGACGCAGCUGCUACAGCUCCUUCCAGCAUUUGGGCUCUUGGCACACCUGCCGGGAUUUGCUCAGGAGAGGCCUUCCACCAAGCCCACCGGCCCCUGCAGCCACUUCCUGCCUGCCUCUGCUCUGCUGGAUAGGCCAUCACUCAGCCUGUGCUGUUCCCACCGCUUGGCCAGUGACCAAGCUGUUCCCUGGACUCCUCUGCUGAAGGGCUUGAUUCGUGGAGGUGGUGAGGCUCGCGGAGAACCACACGUCCCAGGGGCCAUCUAGGUACCAGGCGGCGGAGAACUUGAACGCACCACCUCAUCGGCUGUCAGGCACAGUCACCCUUUGGGAAUCUAAAACUUCCUGUUCCUCACACAUGGGGUCCCCAAAAGUCUAGAUUGUUAGGCAACUUUGCUUAUGACCUGAGUCUCCUGGAAUACAGUUGUGACCAUCUGUGUGAGUGGAGCUCAGGCAGGGCCACCAAGCCACUGAUCCAUGGGAUCACAUGGCUCCAUGUAACAGGACUCUUAGAGAACCCGUGCUUCUUCCCUUAUGUGACAUAAGCCCUGAACUCCGGUGGACCAUGCCUUCGAGUGUCCCAGGCUGCUUCUACUCUUUUGCUCUGCCAUACUUAGCAUGUGACUUCUGUUUUCAGGGCUGCCAUGUGGUCAUGUGACAGGGCCCCUGUGACUUCAGCUCAUCACAUUCACCUUCCAGCCAAGGAAAAGGGGGAAAUAGUGAGGGACAAGAGCACAGCUGAAUCUGCCUAUUUUAAGGCGCCUUUCCCAGUGACUAUCACUUACAUCUCAUCGGGCCUACGUGUGACCCAUGUGCACCCUCACUGCAGAGGAGUCUGGGAAAUGUAGCUUCUCAGCUGGGCACGUUGCUGCCCAUAAAUAAAAAAAUUGAGAUUCUGUUCAUGAAGGAAAGGGGGGAGUAGGGUUGGAGUGGGUACUUCGCUGUCUCUACCCCAGUUGGGAUAAUCGAGGAAGACUUCAUGAAGAAGCAGAGCACUGUAGGAUCAGAUAAGUUGCCAUGCACCAGGUGCUUUACCACUUACAGGUAGGGGAAGGGAGGCUUCUCCUAUUACCCUCCCACGUGAAGGAGCAGUUCCAGCGCCCAUUUUAGAGAUAAGGCAAACAAAGCCUAACGUUCAAUAACUCACUCAGUGUCAUACAGCUAGUAAAUGGCAUCCAGAUUCAAACUCCAGACUCCACCACACUCCCUUCUCCCCUCCAGGCUCACCUCCCAUCUCAGGAUGCCUCUGCAAAGAAGGAAAGAAAGAUCCAGAGAGUGUGUAUCCAGACCAGGACCCUGACAGGGAGGAAUAGGGAAUAGAGAUUCCCAGAUUGCUCCAAGUGGCAAUUUUUGAACAUAAAGAUAUUUACCUAUGGCUGGUUCCCAGAAGAAUUUAUUUUACACUUUAAGAAAAGAAAAGGCAUUUGCAUAAAGUAAAAGUCAAAAAUCACAUGGAAGCCUGGGAUGAGAGCACCUUUUGUGGGGAACCCCAGGGGCAAGGCAAGGGACAGAGGAAGAGGCCGGCCCCUGGCUGGGAGGAGCAGCAGGGCAGGGGAGCAGUGGGGCUCUAGGCACCACCAAGUCCCUCCUGCUCUGGCCAGCAGCCAGCAGUCUGUCACCUGCCAGGAGCUGGGGGGAGGGAGGCAGGUCAUGUGAGGAACAAAGCCUGGCAGCUCAGUGUCCUGGGAACACUGUCACCCGUGGCGAGGUGACCCUUGGCAAAGCUCUGAGUGCUCUCUGCUUGGGGCCACAUUCCUGUCCUCCGAGGCUUCUGUGUGGCUCAAGUGGAACAGAACUGGAGUCCCCGACUCCUACAGGGGUGUCCCCAAACCAGGGAAAUCCUAGGGCCUCAGGUUUCACCUCAGUUUUGGAAGUUUAGGGGUUAGGGUGCACCUGGGGCGCCCCCUCUAGGCAGGACCUGGGACUGCAGUUACCUGCUAAUCUCAUGAACGGAGAACUUAAUACUGUUGUCUGGUAGGUGACCGUCCUGUUAACUAAAAUCUGGAAAAAUAGGGACGCCUGGGUAGCUCAGCCGUUGAGCCUUUGGCUCAGGGCGAGAUCCUGGAGUCCCAGGAUCAAGUCCCACAUCGGGCUUCCUACAUGGAUCC